CGGUGUUCGACGAGCGUCGACGGUCGGGCGGCGGCUGCCGGCAGUCGGCCGUGGAAAUACGGCGAGCGUGCACGUCUCCGCCCGUGGUGUCGACACCGCGAAACUCCGCGCCAAUCUCGUUACGAGCUUGUUUUUUUCUUUCCCGUUUACGCGCUGGUUUUCCCGCGUCGAUCACUUUUUUUUUCACUCUCUCGCGAAUUCCUCUCCCGCUCGCUCUCGUCUGUGCCACACAAUCGGUAUUAUAAUAUUGCUCAUCGCCCCCUCAUCCUCGAUCGCCACCGAUUCGUUCCGUUCACUCUCCCGGAACGAGACGAGGGCGCGCGGGUAACUAAAAAAAUCGUCCGAAAAAACGAGCGUCGUCGCGGGUCCUCGGCCAAUCGCCGCGAACGCUUGUGGACUAGCUGAACACCGUCUGCGGACUGGAAAAUGUGUCGUCCGCCGUCGUCGCCGUCACCAGCACCACGACCAAAUACGCAGCAUCAAAACACGAAUCGUGGAUCACACUCAGAGUGAACUUCAGGGCACAGUGGAGAAUCGACGUAAUUUAAUUGCGAGCAGCUGAAAUGUCUUGACGAUUGGGUGGUCAUAACUACAUUAAGAAUAAUAAUAAUACAUAAAAAUCAACAAUUUUUUUAUAGAGCAUUAAACAAAUCGACCUAUUUAAUAUCCGAUAGCACUUCGAACUUUCCGAGAUUUCCGAAGUAAAUAUGAAGAGAAAUACUCAGAAAUACUCAAUAGGCAGAGGUCAGAAAGUAACUAGAGUAACUUCCCCGUAUUAGUUAACUGACUAACAAACGUGAUGAUGCUCAAACACGAGUCAAUAAUUAAAUUAAAAAUAAUUUGAGCUCUGUACAUAUUACAUCAACCUUAUAUAUAAAUCGAGAAUAUUAUUUACGAGUUAACUAGUUAAUAUCUAUCAAUUCUUGUACGCAUUGGUAAGAGUGUAGGCGCUAAGUGAAUUAUUUUUAUGUACACGUAAUACUUUUCGGUUCGAGUUUACAGUCUUAUUUUUCGAUUUCCCGACAACACCCGUUCACCUCGAAACGGUUUUUUAUUUUUUAUUUUAAUGUGACGUCAAUGGUUACGCAGCAUAAUUCCGUAUCCAUCAACUGUUCGGCGACUGUGCGAAUAAAAACUUUCGAGAACUCUGCUGACAAAAAUACAAUUACUCAAAAACUCAUCAUCUUUAUCGUUCAUAAUAAAAUAAAAUCACCUUGUUUGAGUACAACAUUUUCAAAAGCUUUUCUAUAAUAACUUAUGUUUACGUAAUGAUGUAAUCACGAAUGGAGUUUGUUCUCGAAAACGAGCUGUGUGUUCGUAUUAAAAAUAGAUGCGAAAUUAAAAUUCGAUUAUAAUGGUGAAUUCAAUUAUUUGUUGUACAGGCUAAGAAUAGAAUAUAUUAUUAUUCUUUCUGGAAUUAGUUCACGAAA
rnacentral:misc_RNA from 1 species